rnacentral:ncRNA from 1 species
UGACCUCGGAUCAGGUAGGGAUACCCGCUGAACUUAAGCAUAUCAAUAAGCGGAGGAAAAGAAACCAACAGGGAUUGCCUCAGUAACGGCGAGUGAAGCGGCAAGAGCUCAAAUUUGAAAGCUGGCCCCUUCGGGGUCCGCGUUGUAAUUUGCAGAGGAUGCUUCGGGUGCAGCCCCCGUCUAAGUGCCCUGGAACGGGCCGUCAUAGAGGGUGAGAAUCCCGUCUGGGACGGGGUGUCUGCGUCCGUGUGAAGCUCCUUCGAAGAGUCGAGUUGUUUGGGAAUGCAGCUCUAAAUGGGUGGUAAAUUUCAUCUAAAGCUAAAUACUGGCCGGAGACCGAUAGCGCACAAGUAGAGUGAUCGAAAGAUGAAAAGCACUUUGAAAAGAGAGUUAAACAGCACGUGAAAUUGUUGAAAGGGAAGCGUUUGCGACCAGACUCGCUCGCGGGGUUCAGCCGGCAUUCGUGCCGGUGUACUUCCCCGUGGGCGGGCCAGCGUCGGUUUGGGCGGCCGGUCAAAGGCCCUCGGAAUGUAUCACCUCUCGGGGUUGUCUUAUAGCCGAGGGUGCAAUGCGGCCUGCCCGGACCGAGGAACGCGCUUCGGCUCGGACGCUGGCGUAAUGGUCGUAAAUGACCCGUCUUGAAACACGGACCAAGGAGUCUAACAUCUACGCGAGUGUUCGGGUGUCAAAC